AUCCAGCUGAAGAGUCCCAAAUAAAUUGAGACGCGCGUCCUGUAU
rnacentral:hammerhead_ribozyme from 1 species